GACGAACCGUCCUAACGUUGUUCGGAAUCACUGGGCUUAAAGGGCGCGUAGGCGGGUUCCCAAGUCGGUGGUGAAAUCUUUCGGCCCAACCGGAAAACAGCCGCCGAUACUGGGAGUCUUGAGGGAGGUAGGGGUCGAUGGAACUUCCGGUGGAGCGGUGAAAUGCGUAGAUAUCGGAAGGAACGCCGUGGCGGAAGAACGAUCGACUGGACCUUUUCUGACGGCUGAGGCGCGAAAGCCAGGGGAGCAAACGGG
rnacentral:rRNA from 1 species